rnacentral:rRNA from 1 species
ACAAAGGGCAGCAAGUUAGCGAGGACAAGCAAAUCCCAUAAACCGUGGCUCAGUUCAGAUCGUAGGCUGCAACUCGCCUACGUGAAGGAGGAAUCGCUAGUAAUCGCAGGUCAGCAUACUGCGGUGAAUACGUUCCCGGGCCUUGUACACACCGCCCGUCACACCAUGGAAGUUGGACACGCCCGAAGCCGUUACUCCAACCCUUGUGGAGGAGGACGUCGAAGGUGGGGCUGAUGACUGGGGUGAAGUCGUAACAAGGUAUCCGUACCGGAAGGUGCGGAUGGAUCACCUCCUAAC